rnacentral:rRNA from 1 species
UACGUAGGGAGCAAGCGUUGUCCGGAUUUAUUGGGCGUAAAGAGCUCGUAGGCGGUUUCGUAAGUCGAGUGUGAAAAAUCUGGGCUUAACCCAGUGGAGCACUUGAUACUGCGAUGACUUGAGUUUGGUAGAGGAGUGUGGAAUUCCUGGUGUAGCGGUGAAAUGCGCAGAUAUCAGGAGGAACACCAACGGCGAAGGCAGCACUCUGGGCCAGUACUGACGCUGAGGAGCGAAAGCGUGGGGAGCAAACAGGAUUAGAUACCCUGGUAGUCCACGCCGUAAACGUUGGGCACUAGGUGUGGGGAGGAAUCAACCCUUUCCGUGCCGUAGCUAACGCAUUAAGUGCCCCGCCUGGGGAGUACGGCCGCAAGGCUAAA